GUUAUCUCAUGCUGAAUACAUAGGCAUGCGAGGCGAACCAGGGGAACUGAAACAUCUAAGUACCCUGAGGAAAAGAAAUCAACCGAGAUUCCCUUAGUAGUGGCGAGCGAACGGGGACCAGCCCUUAAGUUGGUUUGAGAUUAGCGGAACGCUCUGGAAAGUGCGGCCAUAGUGGGUGAUAGCCCUGUACGCGAAAAUCUCUUGUCAAUGAAAUCGAGUAGGACGGGGCACGAGAAACCUUGUCUGAAUAUGGGGGGACCAUCCUCCAAGGCUAAAUACUACUGACUGACCGAUAGUGAACUAGUACCGUGAGGGAAAGGCGAAAAGAACCCCGGAGAGGGGAGUGAAAUAGAUCCUGAAACCGUAUGCGUACAAGCAGUGGGAGCAGACUUCGUUCUGUGACUGCGUACCUUUUGUAUAAUGGGUCAGCGACUUAUAUUCAGUGGCGAGCUUAACCGAAUAGGGGAGGCGUAGCGAAAGCGAGUCUUAAUAGGGCGUUUAGUCGCUGGGUAUAGACCCGAAACCGGGCGAUCUAUCCAUGGGCAGGUUGAAGGUUAGGUAACACUGACUGGAGGACCGAACCGACUACCGUUGAAAAGUUAGCGGAUGACCUGUGGAUCGGAGUGAAAGGCUAAUCAAGCUCGGAGAUAGCUGGUUCUCCUCGAAAGCUAUUUAGGUAGCGCCUCAUGUAUCACUGUAGGGGGUAGAGCACUGUUUCGGCUAGGGGGUCAUCCCGACUUACCAAACCGAUGCAAACUCCGAAUACCUACAAGUGCCGAGCAUGGGAGACACACGGCGGGUGCUAACGUCCGUCGUGAAAAGGGAAACAACCCAGACCGUCAGCUAAGGUCCCAAAAUCCUGGUUAAGUGGGAAACGAUGUGGGAAGGCUUAGACAGCUAGGAGGUUGGCUUAGAAGCAGCCACCCUUUAAAGAAAGCGUAAUAGCUCACUAGUCGAGUCGGCCUGCGCGGAAGAUGUAACGGGGCUCAAACCAGGUACCGAAGCUACGGGUAUCACCUUUUGGUGAUGCGGUAGAGGAGCGUUCUGUAAGCCUGUGAAGGUGAGUUGAGAAGCUUGCUGGAGGUAUCAGAAGUGCGAAUGCUGACAUGAGUAACGACAAUGGGUGUGAAAAACACCCACGCCGAAAGACCAAGGUUUCCUGCGCAACGUUAAUCGACGCAGGGUUAGUCGGUCCCUAAGGCGAGGCUGAAAAGCGUAGUCGAUGGAAAACAGGUUAAUAUUCCUGUACUUCUGGUUAUUGCGAUGGAGGGACGGAGAAGGCUAGGCCAGCUUGGCGUUGGUUGUCCAAGUUUAAGGUGGUAGGCUG
rnacentral:rRNA from 1 species